rnacentral:rRNA from 1 species
GAUGAACGCUAGCGGCAGGCCUAAUACAUGCAAGUCGAACGAUACCAGAGAGCUUGCUCUCUGGGAAAGUGGCGCACGGGUGCGUAACGCGUAUGCAACCUACCUUAAUCAGGGGGAUAGCCUCUCGAAAGAGAGAUUAACACCGCAUAACAUCAUUUUACGGCAUCGUAGAAUGAUCAAAUAUUUAUAGGAUUAAGAUGGGCAUGCGUGACAUUAGCUAGUUGGUGAGGUAACGGCUCACCAAGGCUACGAUGUCUAGGGGAUCUGAGAGGAUGACCCCCCACACUGGCACUGAGACACGGACCAGACUCCUACGGGAGGCAGCAGUAAGGAAUAUUGGUCAAUGGAGGCAACUCUGAACCAGCCAUGCCGCGUGCAGGAAGACGGCCCUAUGGGUUGUAAACUGCUUUUAUACGGGAAUAAACCUCUCUACGUGUAGAGAGUUGAAUGUACUGUAAGAAUAAGGAUCGGCUAACUCCGUGCCAGCAGCCGCAGUAAAAC